CCGGUUGAUCCUGCCGGACCUGACUGCUAUCGGAUUGAUACUAAGCCAUGCGAGUCAUUGUAGCAAUACAAGGCAGACGGCUCAGUAACGCGUAGUCAACCUAACCUAUGGACGGGAAUAACCUCGGGAAACUGAGAAUAAUGCCCGAUAGAACACUAUAUCUGGAAUGGUUUGUGUUCCAAAUGAUUUAUCGCCGUAGGAUGGGACUGCGGCCUAUCAGUUUGUUGGUGAGGUAAUGGCCCACCAAGACUAUUACAGGUACGGGCUCUGAGAGGAGUAGCCCGGAGAUGGGUACUGAGACACGGACCCAGGCCCUAUGGGGCGCAGCAGGCGAGAAAACUUUGCAAUGUGCGAAAGCACGACAAGGUUAAUCCGAGUGGUUUCUGCUAAAGGAACCUUUUGUCGGUCCUAGAAACACCGAUGAAUAAGGGGUGGGCAAGUUCUGGUGUCAGCCGCCGCGGUAAAACCAGCACCUCAAGUGGUCAGGAUGAUUAUUGGGCCUAAAGCAUCCGUAGCCGGCUCUGUAAGUUUUCGGUUAAAUCUGUACGCUCAACGUACAGGCUGCCGGGAAUACUGCAGAGCUAGGGAGUGGGAGAGGUAGACGGUACUCGGUAGGAAGGGGUAAAAUCCUUUGAUCUAUUGAUGACCACCUGUGGCGAAGGCGGUCUACCAGAACACGUCCGACGGUGAGGGAUGAAAGCUGGGGGAGCAAACCGGAUUAGAUACCCGGGUAGUCCCAGCUGUAAACUAUGCAAACUCAGUGAUGCAUUGGCUUGUGGCCAAUGCAGUGCUGCAGGGAAGCCGUUAAGUUUGCCGCCUGGGAAGUACGUACGCAAGUAUGAAACUUAAAGGAAUUGGCGGGGGAGCACCACAAGGGGUGAAGCCUGCGGUUCAAUUGGAUUCAACGCCGGGAAU
rnacentral:rRNA from 1 species